rnacentral:rRNA from 1 species
GUGAGGAAUAUUGGUCAAUGGGCGCAAGCCUGAACCAGCCAUCCCGCGUGCAGGAAGACGGCCCUAUGGGUUGUAAACUGCUUUUCCGGGGGGAGAAUUUUUCCGUCGUGACGGGAAUUGACGGUACCCCGGGAAUAAGCAUCGGCUAACUCCGUGCCAGCAGCCGCGGUAAUGCGGAGGAUGCGAGCGUUAUCCGGAUUUAUUGGGUUUAAAGGGUGCGUAGGCGGAAUGAUAAGUCAGUGGUGAAAACCUGCAGCUUAACUGUAGACUUGCCGUUGAUACUGUCAGUCUUGAGUGUGGUCAAGGUAGGCGGAAUGUGUAAUGUAGCGGUGAAAUGCUUAGAUAUUACACAGAACACCGAUUGCGAAGGCAGCUUACUGGGCCAUUACUGACGCUGAUGCACGAAAGCGUGGGGAUCGAACAGGAUUAGAUACCCUUGUAGUCC